AGAAAAUAAGAAAAUCAUUUCAAUUCGAAAAAUGACUAAAAAACUAGUGCCUUUGUUCUACUUACGCAAUGAAAAAAUCCUCAUUUAUGAAAAAGACCAUAUUGAUUGUAUUUGAUUAUAACAGGGCUUUUUAAAUAGACAGACCCUAAUUAUUAUGUACUAGAUAGUUCUAUAAAAUUAGUCAUUUGUUUCUUAUGUAGAUAUAGAUACCUAUAAUAUCAUAUGGUCUCUGUUUCGUUUUUAAACGUGAUCAACUUAUGUAAUUUACUCGCUCACAUAUGUAGCUUAAAUCGAGCUCUUUCUGUAAAAUGUCCAAGUGCUGUUUUACUGGAGUCAAUGCUCGGUGUAUUUAAUUGUUCAGUGCCUAUCUUUAAAAGGUUAUUAAGAAUUGAUAAAACUGAGAAAUAGAUGAACCUGCAGAAAUUACAGAACCAAUAGAUUCUAAAGCAGCAGAAUCAGUGGUUGAAGAUGAGAAAACAGAAGAGGAGACAGAUGUUCAAACUGAUCAUCUAGAAGGAUUUCAUUUAAUAGAAGAACAAGAAGACUUAGAUGUAACAUGUAGUGUAGCAGAGACAGAGGAUGAAACCACCAUUCCAGAAAGUUUAGCUGAAAGUAGGACAGAUGAAACAAUCGCAGAAGAUACAAGUAGAGAAGAUAGAACAUUGCAAGAGAUAGAUGGAGAGAAAGUAACAGGAGACAGAAGGAAAUGGAGUGAAGAAACGAAAGCGACAACUACCACAACAACCAACUAGAAAGUCAGAGAGAACAAAGAGGAUACCUGACAGAUAUAAAGAUUAUCACAUGCAUAGCAUUAUCAACAGUAGACCAUAUGAUCACAGAUUGCAGGCAUUGGAAUCCAUGAUUGCCUCAGGUGUGUUGAAGAAUAUAGAAAUAGAUACUGCAAGGAAAAUUUUUGAUGCUAUAAUGAAAUAAAUGCUAUAUUGAAAUGAUAUUGAAAAUUGUAUUUUACUGUACCAAUAAAUACAAAUUUGAGGUAACUAAUUGUGUUUUAAUAUGUUUUUAAUAUUGAUAGAAGUUGCUAAGAUAGAAGUUGCGCAUAUGUUUUUUUUUCGCAGGAAAUAUGAUUAUUGAUCAUAAUUCGUGACAUGGCGUGUAUGUUUUUUUUUCUCAAUAAGUAUGAUUAUUUAUCAUUUUUUAGCGAUAUUUUAUUGCUUUGAAAUAGUUUUUUUCGCGACAUUAUAUGCUAGCACGUUGUUCGCGAUAAUUGAGAGAAAUUUAUGUCGUUUGAGACACUAUGCAAACAUACUGAUUUUAUAUGCUUUAAAUUAAAACAAUUUUUUUGUUUUUAAAUGUAUAUUGUUUAAAAAUACAGCAUUGUAUUUUUGAUGCUGUUACAAUAUGAUGUAUAGAUAUUUUAUGGAAGGACAAACAUUUUGUUCUUAAUUGUAGGAUAACCUUUAAAACUGAAUAUAUUAAAAGGGAAUGUUUGCUUCCAUGAAAUGUUGCUAAAUAUAUUUUAACUGACAGACUAUUUGACAUGACUAUUUGACAUGACCAUGAUGGGACGUCAUUUUCUCAAAGCAGGGAAGUGCGUAACCAAAGAGAAAUAAUCAGUUGUAGUUUAUUGAUUGAAAUCUGUAGGAGUGAUUUCCCUUGGCUGUUUUAUUAGUUAGUCAUGCAUGUAAUUGUUCCCGCCAUUUUCUGAGUUGUCAGAAGGCAGACAUGUUUUUCAGUAGUUUAUAAUAAUAAGUUGAUGAUUAAUUCUUAAAAAGGAUUGUGGCUUUUGGAUUGAGUAUGUUGCAGUAACACCACAAGACUGAGAGUAUUUUUGUAUGAGUGUCAUUUGAGUCCAAUCCACAAUUGGGCUUGAUCUUCUUGAUACUGAUUAUAUAUUGAUUGGUGCUUAAACAAGUGCUUGAAGUUGUGAUGUGACUUUAACCUCUUGGGUUAAAUCUACUUGAAGCUUUAUAUUAUACAUUGUAAUUAUAUACUAAGAUCAUACACUGAUGGACAUUUCAAUUAAAAGUAUUGAACAAACUCAGCCUCGUUGAUAAUUUAUACCUUUACAUCUUUAAGGGCAUAAUUUUAACAAAGGUAACAGAUUUAUAUGACUGUUUGUCUUUAAAGUGCAUUUUCAGCAUGAAAUUUGUUUUUGUGACAUGUAAUAUGAUUGGCAAAUUUGAAAACAUGGUUAGAAAUCACAUGCUGUUAAUUAUAGAUGUCAAGGCCGCUAUUGUUUGUGAACAGCAUGCUUGGUGAAAACAAGUAAUUUUGCAGGGGGGUACAAACUUUCAGCAAUAGCAAAAAAUCUACAUGUACAAGGUCAAGCACCUAUUUCUUUGUGAUAUUUUGCAUGUAUAGGGAGUUGCUAGAGUAGUGACAGAGUUUCUGUAGCCCAUACUGGUCAGGGACCAUCAACCGGACACUUUUUGAACAUUUUUCCAUACAGAUUUCAUAAUGUCAAACCUACAUGUAGGUUCUUCUCCUAACUAACAAACUACUUUGUUUAUUUCUGAUUGUAUUGACAUAUGUAUCUGAGGCUCCUCCAGGAGGGUAUCAAAAUGACCUCAAUUGUCCAUGUGUCCGGACAGAUAAGUACAGGAUGUGAUUUAAUUCAGAUAAAAGCUUGGGGUUUUUUUUUGUUAUAUUUUUUUAACUGUUGAUAUACAAUAUUUCAGCAACAAAUGCUGAAGUUUUGGAUAUUCUAUUGUUUACACUGCAAAUGAUUAUAGCUGGUAUAUGAGGUCAGGCAUUGCUUUCUUGACGCCCAAAUUUCAACGUCAACAUUCUUGAAAUAGACAUUAAAAUAUUAUCAUUUACGAGGUUGAAAUAAUUUUUUUUACUUAAAUAUAGAAGAAACAUGUUUCUAUUGUUAAUAAAAAAAGUGAUUGACAACCACUGAACAAAGAAAAUACUAAAUUAAGCAUUUUCAGGACCGUCCGGGUUUGGUGGUUGUCCGGUUGUGGUGGUCCCCAACCAGUAUAUGUGCAGGUAUUUUUUGCCAGAGGGACGAAAUAUGUUGUUUUGGGUCUCGGACCACUGUAGAUUUUUGGCUUUUACGGAAUGAAUUGGAACUGCCUGACUUUGCACAUGGGUUGUGUAGUUUGGGAUCAGAUUUAUCAGACAUAUUGCUUGUAGGACAUUGACGACAGAAAAUUGAAAUUGCCAGCACACAGAACUGCUUGGUCCCUGUGGUUAAAUACAAUAAAAUUUAAAUCAGUUUAGGAAAAUUUACUUUGAUUUGGGA